GUGAGGUGAUGACAAAGUUUAUCCAUUCUCUGAGUGCAGUGGCGCCGCCCUCCUGCAGCACCCCGAUUCCUGUUCUAGGGUCUGGGUGCUGUGCAGCCUCCAGAGACUCUCCAGUCUCCCAG
rnacentral:snoRNA from 1 species